UACGGAGGGUGCAAGCGUUAUUCGGAUUUACUGGGCGUAAAGGGCGCGUAGGCGGUUGAUCAAGUCAGAUGUGAAAUCCCGGGGCUCAACCCCGGAAGUGCAUCUGAAACUGGUUGGCUUGAGUAUGGUAGAGGGAAGUGGAAUUCCUGGUGUAGCGGUGAAAUGCGUAGAUAUCAGGAGGAACACCGGUGGCGAAGGCGACUUCCUGGACCAAAACUGACGCUGAGGCGAGAAGGUGUGGGGAGCAAACAGG
rnacentral:rRNA from 1 species